GCUCCAGACUCCUACGGGAGGCAGCAGUGAGGAAUAUUGGUCAAUGGCCGAGAGGCUGAACCAGCCAAGUCGCGUGAGGGAAGACGGCCCUACGGGUUGUAAACCUCUUUUGUCGGGGAGCAAAGGGCGCCACGUGUGGCGUUUUGCGAGUACCUGAAGAAAAAGCAUCGGCUAACUCCGUGCCAGCAGCCGCGGUAAUACGGAGGAUGCGAGCGUUAUCCGGAUUUAUUGGGUUUAAAGGGUGCGUAGGCGGAAUGCCAAGUCAGCGGUAAAAUCGCGGGGCUCAACCUCGCUCCGCCGUUGAAACUGGCGUUCUUGAGUGGGCGAGAAGUAUGCGGAAUGCGUGGUGUAGCGGUGAAAUGCAUAGAUAUCACGCAGAACUCCGAUUGCGAAGGCAGCAUACCGGCGCCCAACUGACGCUGAAGCACGAAAGCGUGGGUAUCGAACAGGAUUAGAUACCCCUGUA
rnacentral:rRNA from 1 species